CUGUAUCACUACUUCCUUACUCGAUUUUCGUUGUGGCGAAGCUAAAGGGAAAGACAAAAAGGCCUGUCUACAAAAUCAAAUAAAAUCAAAAUUCACAAGAAUAUUAGAGGCUGAGAGAGAACCUGAUUUUGUUGUUUUACCUUGACAUAGAAAACGCAAUGUCAAACAGCAAUCUCCAAAUACAAAUAGAGGAACCCCCUCCCGCUCAUACGCCUCUACUAACUUCUAAUUCAAAUCAAAACCCUCAACCUCUACCACCUCAAAAUCAAUGUAUUAAUAAAAAUAGCAACAGUAAUAAUGAUGGUAAUGAGGACAGUGAGUUCGAUCGAACGCUGGCGAGUUUGGAAGCGCUUCUCACUUUGCUUGGCUUCAACCAGCGAACCGUUUUCAGCUUUGCCGUCUCAUGGACCGUCUUCGCGGUGGUUGGCACCACGAUGCCGCUGGUGGCGCUGGCUCUCUCCGAGUGCUCUGACGGCCGCAGCCACUGCCAGAAAUACCAGAUUCCGGCAUUCGAGAUGGCGAUCGUGGCGUUCCAGGCGUGCCUUGCUUCCGUCUCACUGCUGUGCCUCUCGCACAACCUGAGGAAGUACGGCGUCAGGAGGUUCCUCUUCGUUGACCGCCACAGCGGACAGUUGCAUUGCUUUCACCGCGAUUACGUCAACCAGAUUCAGGGAUCUUUGCGUUUGCUCAUUAUAUGGAUGUUGCCGUGCUUCUUUGUGAAGACAGCGCGAGAAAUCAUUCGCAUUUCAAAUGUGCAGCAUGAGUCCUGGAUACUCUCAGUUGCUAUUUUCUUUGCUUUGAUUAUAUCUUGGACUUAUGUGAGUGCAGUCUCUUUGUCGGCCACUAUUAUGUUUCACUUGGUCUGCAAUUUGCAAGUUAUCCACUUUGAUGAUUAUGGGAAACUCUUGCAAAGGGAGAGUGACGUUCUAGUUUUCAUGGAGGAGCACAUUCGGUUGCGCUAUCAUCUCUCCAAGAUAAGCCAUAGGUUCAGAAUAUAUCUUCUUCUACAGUUCUUGGUUGUCACAGCAAGCCAAUUUGUCACUCUAUUGCAGGUUACGGGAUAUGGUGGCAUGCUCACUUUCUUAAAUGGUGGAGAUUUUGCUGUAUCUACACUUGUUCAAGUUGUUGGCAUCAUUAUUUGUCUGCAUGCGGCAACAAGAAUAUCUCACAGAGCUCAGGGUGUUGUUUCACUAGCAAGCAGGUGGCAUGCACUGUUGACAUGCUCUUCUGAUGCUUCUCAACUAAGAAGCUCUGCCAGUACAGGGAGCUUGGAGGCUGUAAACCAUUUAAACUCAAUACAAUUAGACUAUUCUGAGAGUGAUUUGGAGUCAAUGGAUUAUGCUGGAAUGCCUACGAAUACCCAGUUGGCUUCCUAUAUGUCCUCACACCACAAGAGGCAAGCCUUCGUGAUGUACUUGCAAACUAAUCCUGGAGGAAUCACUAUAUUUGGAUGGACAGUUGAUCGGUCCCUUGUCAACACAAUUUUUUUCCUUGAAUUAAGUCUAGUUACCUUUGUUCUCAGCAAGACAAUAAUUUAAGGAGGAAAAGAAGAUUGCAAGCAGACACCAAGAACAAGAAGAAACCUUCUAAGUUUAGUUCUUCUGGCUUAGCGUUAUCAUUUUGCUGGAAAAUGGCCACAAAUAGCCAUAACUUUUUCUGGCGACUGAUGUUAAUAACUUUGCUCAAGCCAUGCCAGCACGUAACACGGACAUGGCAGCGAACCAUGAAUGAAGGUAGAAAGGUAGGGACCAAGUUAUAUCUGUCAAUCUAUGGAACUGAGCUCUCUGACGUUUCUGUUCAAGGUGCUUUGCUUCUACCCAACUUUGAAGAUUGAUGGGGGGUUUCAUCUAAUGACUUGAGCUCCAAUUCUCCAGAGCAACAUUAUUAAUAUUGUCCUAAUACGUAAUCAAAGUUGCAUAUCUAUCAUAAAACUAGAAUAAUUUGGGAAACUGAUCAUGCCUACUUUUGUGUUGAAGAUUUCAGUCUCAGAAGAACAGGCAUGUUUAAGAGCGUUCGUGCAGUUGAGUUCGAAAGAAGUAGAAUGCAUCUAAUUAAGGCUUAGUUUUUUUUUUUUUGGGGGGUCAAAUGGAUUAGACAAUCCUCAAUCCUAGGCAUUAUCCACUCACCCACACCAUACUCACUCACAAUAUUAAGGGUUCUAUCACUACUUGGCAUCAGCCAAGUUUUGAACCCAUGUGCACAGUGCACUCAUUGCAAGGCACAGGAGAUAACUACUAGACGAAGGCUUAGUUUGAAUUAUGUGAAUAGGAUUCCCCACCCAACCUAGUGGAAACUUUCCUGUUCGCUGAAAUGAGAAAGUUGAACAAAGACCUGAGAAGUUAGAUGAUGUACAUAUCUCAGUUUUUUUCUCGAAGAAUUUCCACCCUUUUCUUCACUUUUUUUUUUUUCGCAUAUUGAAGUGCACGUGCCAUGUGUUUAUUAAGUUAUUUACUAAGAACAGAAAGGUUGCUUUGUUCCGUGAUCCGCACUUCAAGAGCUCAGUGUGCUAAUAUUUAAAUCUCAAUAAACGGUGUU